rnacentral:rRNA from 1 species
CCCUUAGAUGUUCUGGGCCGCACGCGCGCUACACUGAUGCAUUCAACAAGCCUAGCCUUGACCGAGAGGUCCGGGUAAUCUUUGAAACUGCAUCGUGAUGGGGCUAGAUUAUUGCAAUUAUUAAUCUUCAACGAGGAAUGCCUAGUAAGCGUGAUUCAUCAAAUCGCGUUGAUUACGUCCCUGCCCUUUGUACACACCGCCCGUCGCUCCUACCGAUUGAAUGUGUUGGUGAGGAGCUCGGAUUGGCAGCAGUUGGUGGUUCGCCUCCGGCUAUUGCUGAGAAGUCCUCCAAACCGCCCCAUUUAGAGGAAGGAGAAGUCGUAACA